UACGUAGGGGGCAAGCGUUGUCCGGAUUUAUUGGGCGUAAAGAGCGUGUAGGCGGCUUUACAGGUCCGUUGUGAAAACUCGAGGCUCAACCUCGAGACGCCGGUGGAAACCGUAAAGCUAGAGUCCGGAAGAGGAGAGUGGAAUUCCUGGUGUAGCGGUGAAAUGCGCAGAUAUCAGGAGGAACACCGGUGGCGAAGGCGGUUCUCUGGGCAUGAUCUGACGCUGAGGAGCGAAAGUGUGGGGAGCGAACAGG
rnacentral:rRNA from 1 species